rnacentral:rRNA from 1 species
AUACUGAGGGUGCAAGCGUUAAUCGGAAUUACUGGGCGUAAAGCGCACGUAGGCGGUUUAUUAAGUCAGAUGUGAAAGCCCUGGGCUUAACCUGGGAACUGCAUUUGAGACUGGUAGGCUAGAGUAUGGUAGAGGAUAGUGGAAUUCCGGGUGUAGCGGUGAAAUGCGUAGAUAUCCGGAGGAACAUCAGUGGCGAAGGCGGCUAUCUGGACCAAUACUGACGCUGAGGUGCGAAAGCGUGGGGAGCAAACAGGAUUAGAAACCCCAGUAGUCC